rnacentral:rRNA from 1 species
AAUAGAUACCCUGGUAGUCCACGCCCUAAACGAUGUCAACUAGUUGUUCGGUGAGGAGACUCAUUGAGUAACGCAGCUAACGCGUGAAGUUGACCGCCUGGGGAGUACGGCCGCAAGGUUAAAACUCAAAGGAAUUGACGGGGACCCGCACAAGCGGUGGAUGAUGUGGAUUAAUUCGAUGCAACGCGAAAAACCUUACCUACCCUUGACAUGCCAGGAACUUGCCAGAGAUGGCUUGGUGCCCGAAAGGGAGCCUGGACACAGGUGCUGCAUGGCUGUCGUCAGCUCGUGUCGUGAGAUGUUGGGUUAAGUCCCGCAACGAGCGCAACCCUUGUCAUUAGUUGCCAUCAUUCAGUUGGGCACUCUAAUGAGACUGCCGGUGACAAACCGGAGGAAGGUGGGGAUGACGUCAAGUCCUCAUGGCCCUUAUGGGUAGGGCUUCACACGUCAUACAAUGGUCGGUACAGAGGGUUGCCAAGCCGCGAGGUGGAGCCAAUCCCAGAAAGCCGAUCGUAGUCCGGAUUGG